rnacentral:rRNA from 1 species
GACGAACGCUGGCGGCGUGCUUAACACAUGCAAGUCGAACGGAAAGGCCCCCAUCUUGGUGGGGGUGCUCGAGUGGCGGACGGGUGAGUAACACGUGGUUGAUCUGCCCUGUAGUUCGGGAUAAGCUUGGGAAACUGGGUCUAAUACCGGAUAGGACCAUGGUUUAGUGUCUCAUGGCGGAAAGAUUGUUGUUUUGUUGCAGGAUGGGCUCGCGGCCUAUCAGCCUGUUGGUGGGGUAAUGGCCUACUAAGGCGUCGAGGGGUAGCCGGACGGAGGGGGCGGACGUGCACAGUGGGACUGAGAUGCGGCCCAGGGUCCGAGGGGAGGCAGCAGUGGGGAAGAGAAGACAAUGGGGGGAAGCCUGAAGCAGCGACGCCGCGUGGGGGAUGCCGGGCCGCGUGUGGUAAGCUCCCCUCGUUAUUGUCGAGGUCUCGUUUUUGGGGUGUGGUGACGGGACCUGGGUGAAGAAGCACCGGCUAACUACGUG